CACCAUUGCAAUCAAGUCUAGUAGCCCCUUAAAAAAUUCAGAGUCAAGCACGCAUAGGAAGGGACAAUAUACUAAAAGGCUCUCCCAGCUUCACCACACACAGUACAAGGGGCCAAAGUUGGGAGCCUGCAGGCAUUUAGUCUCUCCAUCGGGCAGAGACAGCUGUGGAGAAGAGCUGGCACCUGCAUCGCUCGAGUGGGUAUUUCCGAUGCAGCCAAAAGAAACACCCAGAUCACGUCACACCUUCAGCGCAUCCCCUCCGAGCACAGGUGUACACAAUCCGGCGACAGUGAGUUUCUUAUAACUUAGAGGGAAUGCUGAAAGCUCUGGCAGAAUAAGGAUGAAGAAAAAUGAUGGAAGUUGGAGUGUGGACUUGUGCUAAGCCAAUACUGUGACUCAAACUGUGUUGCUAAAAAACACAUAAUCACAGAAUCAUUCAGGUUGGAAGGCACCCCUGGAGGACAUCUGGUCCAGCCUCCCUGGUCAAGCAGGGUCAGCUAGAGCAGGCUGCUCAGGACUGCAUCCAGAUGGCUUUGAGUCUCUCCAAAGGAUGGGGACUCCACAGCCUGGAAACCUAUGCCAGUGCUCAGUCACCUGCACAGUAGAGAAGGGUUUUCUCAUGUUCAGAAAAGACCCCCCCAUAUUUCAGGUUCUGCCUAUUGCUCUAUCACUAGGCACCACUGAAAAGAGCCUGACUCAGUCUUGCUUACACCCUCCCAUCAGAUAUUUAUUCACACCUAUAAGAUCUGUCUGAGGCUUCUCUUCUCUAGGCUAACUAGUUCCAUCUCUCAGCCUUUCCUCAUAUGACAUGCUCCAAUCCCUAAACAAUUUUCAUUGCCCUUUACUUGACCUGCUGUCUAUGCCCAUGAUUUUCUUGUGCUGGGAAGCCACAAACUAGAAUUGGCACUCCAGAUGUGGCUUUGCCAGUGCUUAAUAGAUGGGAAGGUUCACCUCUCUCAGGCUUUUUGCAAUGCUUUUCCUAAUGCCUACGAAGUCUUAGACACAGCAAAUGAUUUUACAUUAUUUUUGUACAAAAACAGUAGAAUUUACUAGAGAGAAAUAAAGAAGAAACCAUAAAAGUAAUUUCAUUUUUGAUAGGGCUACGUGAGAAGACUUAGCUCUUAUUGUCAUCAUUUCCAACCUUUAUUGGUCGUUUUCUGAUUUGCACACAUUUGCUUUGUAAAGAUGGAAUACCUGACACUGUUGGCCAACCAACCUGUGGAAAGCCCAGUCUAGUUCAAUACAUUAUAUCCCAAAGUUAGAAUGAUACAUGAGAGCCUUGAAGAGAAUUUCAUUGUGUGGUUAGUAAGAAUUACCCCUGCUUAGUAACACUGCAAGGUGAUACAUAAGGCCACACAAAAGAAGAAAAAAACUCUCCUGAUGGCUUCCUGAAAAACCCCAGCACAUUGGGAGACAUUCCCAGAAACUUAUAAAAGGAUUAAGAUGAAGAAAGGAGUGAUAUGGAGAUAACACGGCCUUUCCUACUCGGGAAGUGGACCCUUGGGCCUAUUUCAUCUGUCAAUCACCCCAAAAUUAGCUUAUUGACUACAGCCACUCAAACUGCUUGAAGAAAAAGGUACAAAAAGAGAUGGGACCCAAGGAAAUAUCGGGAAGAAGUUCCAUCAACUCUGCAGAGGUAACCAACGGGCUGCCUUUUCUCCCUCCAGCUUCUUGGGAUGCCGCAGGAAAUGCAAGACCUCUGUUUUCAAUCUGGGCCUUACAUGGUGGAGUAAACAGGAGCACUUUCACACCACCUCCUGUCGAUGUUGACAUGAAGCAGCUUCAACCACAGCAUCAAACUGAAGGGACACAAUGAUAAUGAAAGAUUGAAGUCACCCUUGAUAACUUGGCAUCCACAAUUUCCAAUUCUAAAUUCUUGGAGCAUUACAAGAAAGUUUGUGUAUAAAUAUCUUUAGAGCAGCUAAACUUCCAAAAUGCUGUCGAUGUAGCAUAGCAACUCUGCAUGGGUAUGUAUUUUAAUUGUCUUAUUUGUUUCUUAGUAGCAAUAACAUUACUAGUUCUUUCAUCUCUUGCUGUCUUCUCCAUUGCUUCAAGGAGGUUGAGAAAUAAUCUAACUAAAAAGGAAUUCUAAACCCCUCAGUUAACACGCUUUUCAAUUUAUGAUGCUUGGAAUACUGCCAUUUGAAAAUAAAGGCCACAGAAUUAGAGGGUGUACUGUGCCUUGAUUUUUUUCCCCCCUCUUACAUAUAAUAAAUACUUAUUUCUUCCCCACUGAUAAAAAGGGAACUCAGGGUGAUUAGCACAGCAGUAAGUGGCUCUAUUGUAGAUGCCUAAAGUUAGAUGAGACGAGACCCAUCUUUCUCCACAGUAGAGUGCUUCAGCUCUGCCAGGUGAAAUCUCUUGCACUUGAACGAAAUUCAAUUUCCCUCAUUUUACCAAAAUACUCCCUCAGCAGGUCGAAAUGAGAUUGUCCUUUGGUGACCUAACACCUUCAAAGCUGUAAGGUCAGUGACCAUCUGCAGCAAAGCAGCAACCUCUUUUCAUAUUACUCAAUAUGGACUCAGUGUUCGGAAACACCAACUUGAUUUUUUUUCCUUGUUUAGUUAAGAGCGUCCCUUUAUGUGGCAGCCAAGAUAGCAAAUUAUAUGCAUGUCUACAAUAAGUCUCACUAUUGCUGUCCAACAGGCCAUGGGCUGAAUUAUUCUCCUCAGAGAACAAGAAGAUUCUUAUGAAAAUUCCUCACUCUCAAUGGCUUUUUUCAUGAAACAGUCACACAGCUGUUAUGGGUACUGCUUUCCCACACUUCAAAUCUGUUAAAGGAGAGGACCAAAAAACAGAGCAGAAGUAUAGGAAGUAAAACUGAGAAGAACUUCCUGGGUGACAAAUUCAACUGCAACUGCCUCAAGCAAUCAUAUAACACAAUCUCUUUCAUAAUUCAGUUAAGCACCAAGCUAUCACAUUUUCACUUUAUUACUUUUAGAAGAUUGUUCCAGAACCUGAAUGUUUUGAGUACACAAAUGCUUCUUUGAGUUUCAAGCCUGGAAUUAAUUCAUGCCAAAUUCUCUUAAUCUAUGCUGUACUGCUGCCCCUUAGUUUAAACAGCUCUACUCCUACAUUGAUUUUUAUAUUUAUAGGCAGUGAUCAUUUCUUCUUCCAGCUCUUAAUUUAGCGUACUGAGAGCCAAUCUCCCAUAGGCUCUCCAUCACCCUAAUUGCCAUGUUAACCCUUUAAAAAAUGCAUUCCGGCUUCCCUUUUUGCGCAUGGAUGAACAGGGCUGCAUAAAGUCUCCUGCAUCAAAACUCACCAAAGUAUUCUAAACUUGCAUUCAUAUUUGCAGAUCAGAGAAACCGAGGUUGGUGGAGAUCUUUCCAGAGAUGUAGGCAAGAAGGUUAUAUUCUUUUUAUCUAGGAUCUAUACAAUGACCACAUCUCCUUUCAAAACUAAAUGGAACUGUUAUAGAUGAUGUCCAGUACACGCUGGCCUGAUCAGGAGUUAGAAAUGCAGCCAAUUACACACACUUUGCAUCCCAAGUGAUGCUGCUGGUGCCCUCCUCAGGGGUUUUUGAUAUUGCACUGUGUAUACUAAGUGCAAAUAAUAAAGGAUAAUAAUGACAACUGAAUAAAACUUAUUUUCUUGUGUAUGGAACAGAGAUUUGAUUAGCCACCAGAGAAGAGCUCCCCUUCACAGAAACCCCAGUGCUGAGGUGGACAGGAGAAAAUGCUGAGUCUAAAGCAAGCCACCUUCAUGGCCAUGACAUGCAUCAGAAGACUCUAGAAAUUAGUACUUCUGUGCAGGAUGUGGCACAACACAGAAAUUCAAUUUCCCUUAUUUUACUGAAAUACUUUUAACCUAAAUCUCUGGCAUCACAUCAGCCCAUUCAUAGAUGUUGAUGGUAUCUUUGCCAGAGGCUGCUGGAAAGGAAGGGCGUCUUCACCAUACAGAACCUAUCUCUACAAAUCUAUGUAUCUGUAGGAGGAGAUCUGUGGUGUUCAGUGUUCACAAGGUGUGAGAGAGGAUAGUAGGACAUCUAGAUGAAACAUUUUCAUGUCUGCCAAUCACUCCAAAAGGCAAAGGUCCGGUUGUUAGUCUCCAUUGUAUCAUCAUAGUAGCUGUAGUUACUUGCUGCUGAUUCAAGAUACACCAUUUUUAUCACAGCUGACAUUUCUACUUGAACUAGAUCCAAUUCAUUUUAUGUUUUUUCCAUCCUUCCCAGUAUAUGUCUCUGUAAGAAGUUAGCCUUUUGAGACAGAGUAGGCAGCAAUACAAAAAUCAAAGCAUAAAUAAUACAAAAAUACUUAAGUAUGUGUACUUCACUUAUGCCAUGAAAAAUGCAUUUUAAUUAAUUUUUCAAAAUGGCAAGGAUGAAUUAGAUGAGCAGAAAUAAAUAUUAUACACCAAAUGACAUAAAAUUUAGCCUAUUUUGUAGUCGUCAGUUUAAAAUGGGUGAUGCCCUUACAUUUUAAAAAGCUGAUACAAAUAUUCCGCUCUCAGCUUUGAAGAAUUUUCCUUCAACUGCAAAAAAAGCAAAUAUAAAAAGACCUUCCUGUGUCAGAACAGUGGCUUAACAAGUCACUAGUAACAAGCAAAGCUUCAGAGCCUGAUGAAAAUUCCUUGGAUGACCAAAAUCUGUGAUUCUGUGAAACAGCUAGGAACACUGAAAUAUAAAGAAAAAAAAAAUCCUUUUUCUUGGUAUCUCUUCUAAA